GCUAGUGGUUACCAACCUGUAGGGUGCAACAUCAUACAAUUAGAGUGUCAGAUAACUCCUUAUUAUGAUGUUUCAGACCGUUCUGAAGUUUUAGUGGCUCAAAAAACUUGUGAUGUUAUUAUGCUAACUGAAGAAGUUGUUUGUGGGAAAAGUUUUUGUUCACAGUUUUUUUUUUUUAUUACCUUUUCAAAACCUUUGAUGUUGCAGAUGAAGGGCAUUCAGAAUAUGCCAAGAAAAGUUACCAUUAGGUUACUGCCAGGUUCUGACGGUGGGAGAAUCCCGCUUUAGUUUGAAAGGCUGGUAUCAUAUGGUCAAGAAUGAUCAGAAUGUAUGACGUAAUUCAUUACGACGCCAUCCCUUGACGUAUUAUCGGCCAACCAACUGGUAUCUGGCAGAAUGAUGACGUGUACAGCAGCUGCAGAUAAUAUUAAUAUUGGUUUUAAACGUAAGUUCAGUAUGUAUCACUGGCAAAUCCUGAGUUUUAUUAUCUUAGGGGUAUACCCCAUAAAAGCAACUGUACAUUCAAGAGGA